rnacentral:rRNA from 1 species
AUUGAACGCUGGCGGCAGGCCUAACACAUGCAAGUCGAGCGGUAGCGGGAAGAGCUUGCUCUUUGCCGACGAGCGGCGGACGGGUGCGUAACACGUAGGAAUCUGCCCGGUAGUGGGGGAUAGCCCGGAGAAAUCCGGAUUAAUACCGCAUACGCCCUAAGGGGGGAAAGCAGGGGAUCUUCGGACCUUGUGCUAUCGGAUGAGCCUGCGUCGGAUUAGCUUGUGGUGGGGUAAAGCCUACCAAGGCGACGAUCCGUAGCUGGUCUGAGAGGAUGAUCAGCCACACUGGGACUGAGACACGGCCCAGACUCCUACGGGAGCAGCAGUGGGAAUAUUGCACAAUGGGCGAAAGCCUGAUGCAGCCAUGCCGCGUGUGUGAAGAAGGCCCU